AAAAAAUUGUAUUACAGAAUAAGUAAAAUCGCUUUUAGUAUAUCAGACGAAUAUAUAAUAGUUGGUGAUGGAAUAACAAAUAAAUCCAAUUCAACAAAGGAAUUUAUAAAUGCAGUUACAACAAAAACAAAUUUAUCAAUAUUUUGUAUAAAAACAUGUAAAGAAAUUAAAAAUUUUGAAAUAAAAAAAUGUACUAGUUAUGUUAGUUUUAUUGAACCUAAUCCAUAUUAUAAAGAUAUUGUUUUAUUUGGUUGUUUUAAAAAAUAUAUUUUUUUAAUAAAUAUAGAAAAAAAAAAAAUGAUAAAAAAAUAUUCUUAUGAUAAUGAAUUAAAAAAUUUAAGUGCUGAUUGGAAUAAAACUGGUUCUACAUUUAUUGUUUCUCAUAAUUUUGGAUAUUUUUCUAUUUUUUCAAUGAAUAACGAUGCAUGUUAUACAUUAACAUUAACAGAACAAAUUACUUCUUUACAACUUAAAAAAUUUAGCAACUAUACCAUAACAAAUGAAAAUAGCUUAAGUGAUGAACAAACAGAGAUAUUGCAAGAUGUUUAUAUGUUGAAUACAAAUGGAGAAAAUAAUAGGUUUAUAAAUUAUCUUAUGCGAAAUAACUAUGUCGCAAUCAAUAAAUUUUCACAUAAUAGGUAUGGAACUAAUGGAUUUGGUUUUUUUGUUGAACGUGUUUUUAAUGAAAGAGAUAAAUCGAGUAAUGACUACACAGAUCGUAGUUCCAUUGAAAGUAAUAGUACCCUAAGUAGUAGUAGUAAUAGAAUAGCGACAUUAAAUAACUCGCAAACGGGUACACAUAACAAUAAUAACUAUUGGGCACGUUUUUUUAACUCUUCACGUUUAAGGGAACCUAAUAGUGGCAAUAAUAACAGUAGUAAUAGUAGUAGUAGUAGUAAUAGUAGUAAUAGUAGUAAUAGUAGUAAUAGUAGUAAUAGUAGUAAUAGUAGUAAUAGUAGUAAUAGUAGUAAUAGUAGUACUAGUAGUAGUAGAAACAGCAACGGAAACAGUUACAGAAACAGAAACAGAAACAGAAACAGUAACAGAAACAGUAAUAGAAACAGAAACAAAAACAGAAACAAAAACAGAAACAAAAACAGAAACAAAAACAAAAACAAUAACAACAGUAGCAGCAGUAGUAGUAGUAGUAGUAGUAGCAAUAGCAGUAGUAUUGACUGUAUCAAAAUAAGUGAUACUGAUGAUAACUUAUAUAAUAAUAACUCAUUCAAUCGGCCGUUAAACAAUAAUAAUAGAAUUAAAAAAAAGUCUAUUAUUGCAAAAAAUAAGAAAAUAAAUAGAUUAAAACGCUAUUUUAGUUUAAAAUGUAAAGAAAAAAAAUGAUAAAUCAGGUAAAAGUGAUCAAUUAGAUAAAGAUAAAAAAAAAAAAAUAAUAAAUUAGAAAAUAUAAACA
ensembl:lncRNA